AGGUUGGCUCUCACUGUAUUCCUCUUUAUUGCCAGAGCUUUCAUAUCCGGUGGUUUUCAGGCUGCAUAUGUUUAUACUCCUGAGGUUUACCCAACUGCAACCCGUGCAUUAGGAUUAGGAACGUGCAGUGGGAUGGCACGAGUGGGGGCUCUCAUCACUCCUUUCAUUGCACAGGUUAUGUUGGAAUCCUCAAUCUACCUGACACUUUCCGUGUACAGUGGAUGCUGCCUAUUGGCAGCCCUUGCUUCCUGUUUCCUACCAAUUGAGACGAUGGGGCGAGGCCUGCAAGAGUCCAGCCAGCGGGAGUGGGGCCAGGAAAUGGUGGGCAGGACACAUUGCUCAAGCAGCUCAACCAGGAGCACCUAGAAUGAAUUUGUCACAACAGCAACCAGACCAAAAAUGGCCUCGCAGGAAGCAGACAGCAUCAAAAUCAUUACUAAUAUACACUUAUUCUGCUGGUUAAUAAGAAAUGGUGUGAGUAUUAAGGUGGGAAACAAAUGUAGUAUUCUGCAGGCGCAUAUAUAAACUAAAGGAAACCACAACCUACCCGUGCCCCAUCAGUUUUGUGAUGUCAAACUAAAGGGCACGUAUAAAGGAUUGGAAAGUAAUGGUAGGAUUUAAAGUAGAAUGUAAGGGGUGAGCCCUGCCUUUCAUACCUUGCCAUUUACCCAGCCAUAAUACAGACAAGCUUUGUUACUACAAACUGCUAUGGUAUAUUCCUUUCCCUUACUGCGAAUCAACCCCAUUCACUGAUAAUGCAAAUAUUUGCAAUAGAAAAUACAAUGGUUAUGAAUAAAUGAAUUGAAAACUAUCAUGGGAAUCCAUUAAAGCUCAAUAGGCUGAAUUAAACAAUCUCCUAUAGCAGCUACACUGGCUCAUUUUCAAUGAUUCAUAACUCUUUUACACCAAAGUAGAAAAUAGGCACUGACAGUGCACUAUUCGAAUGAGAACUCAGCAGAUGUGAUGCUAAGUGGGAACAAACUGGUGCACAUGGAUUUGCCGUUAACAUUGCAUAGAGCAUCAAACUAACAAGAAAUAGUUUCUACAAGACAGGUAAAACAGCAAGCCAUAGUAAUCUUUGCAAUAGAAAGAUCAGUUUGUAUUAACGAGGUUCGUCUGUAAUGCUGUACUAUG